GCAGACUCACUCUGUGUAAGUCUGACACAUCCAGGCUUAGACUUUUUCUGUCUGCGACAGCAACUGGAAGAACGUUAUAACCUUGCCUUGCUAUUCGCUCGGGAGGUGACCGUGUCUUCUCAAACAUUUAU